UACGUAGGGGGCUAGCGUUGUCCGGAAUUAUUGGGCGUAAAGAGCGUGUAGGCGGUCCUGCAAGUCCGUUGUGAAAGUCAGGGGCUCAACCCUUGAAUGCCGGCGGAUACUGUCGGGCUAGAGUCCGGAAGAGGCGAGUGGAAUUCCCGGUGUAGCGGUGAAAUGCGCAGAUAUCGGGAGGAACACCUAUGGCGAAGGCAGCUCGCUGGGACGGUACUGACGCUGAGACGCGAAAGCGUGGGGAGCAAACAGG
rnacentral:rRNA from 1 species